rnacentral:rRNA from 1 species
GAUGAACGCUGGCGGCGUGCCUAAUACAUGCAAGUCGAGCGAACGGACGAGAAGCUUGCUUCUCUGAUGUUAGCGGCGGACGGGUGAGUAACACGUGGAUAACCUACCUAUAAGACUGGGAUAACUUCGGGAAACCGGAGCUAAUACCGGAUAAUAUUUUGAACCGCAUGGUUCAAAAGUGAAAGACGGUCUUGCUGUCACUUAUAGAUGGAUCCGCGCUGCAUUAGCUAGUUGGUAAGGUAACGGCUUACCAAGGCAACGAUGCAUAGCCGACCUGAGAGGGUGAUCGGCCACACUGGAACUGAGACACGGUCCAGACUCCUACGGGAGGCAGCAGUAGGGAAUCCUCCGCAAUGGGCGAAAGCCUGACGGAGCAACGCCGCGUGAGUGAUGAAGGUCUUCGGAUCGUAAAACUCUGUUAUUAGGGAAGAACAUAUGUGUAAGUAACUGUGCACAUCUUGACGGUACCUAAUCAGAAAGCCACGGCUAACUACGUGCCAGCAGCCGCGGUAAUACGUAGGUGGCAAGCGUUAUCCGGAAUUAUUGGGCGUAAAGCGCGCGUAGGCGGUUUUUUAAGUCUGAUGUGAAAGCCCACGGCUCAACCGUGGAGGGUCAUUGGAAACUGGAAAACUUGAGUGCAGAAGAGGAAAGUGGAAUUCCAUGUGUAGCGGUGAAAUGCGCAGAGAUAUGGAGGAACACCAGUGGCGAAGGCGACUUUCUGGUCUGUAACUGACGCUGAUGUGCGAAAGCGUGGGGAUCAAACAGGAUUAGAUACCCUGGUAGUCCACGCCGUAAACGAUGAGUGCUAAGUGUUAGGGGGUUUCCGCCCCUUAGUGCUGCAGCUAACGCAUUAAGCACUCCGCCUGGGGAGUACGACCGCAAGGUUGGAACUCAAAGGAAUUGACGGGGACCCGCACAAGCGGUGGAGCAUGUGGUUUAAUUCGAAGCAACGCGAAGAACCUUACCAAAUCUUGACAUCCUUUGACAACUCUAGAGAUAGAGCCUUCCCCUUCGGGGGACAAAGUGACAGGUGGUGCAUGGUUGUCGUCAGCUCGUGUCGUGAGAUGUUGGGUUAAGUCCCGCAACGAGCGCAACCCUUAAGCUUAGUUGCCAUCAUUAAGUUGGGCACUCUAAGUUGACUGCCGGUGACAAACCGGAGGAAGGUGGGGAUGACGUCAAAUCAUCAUGCCCCUUAUGAUUUGGGCUACACACGUGCUACAAUGGACAAUACAAAGGGCAGCGAAACCGCGAGGUCAAGCAAAUCCCAUAAAGUUGUUCUCAGUUCGGAUUGUAGUCUGCAACUCGACUACAUGAAGCUGGAAUCGCUAGUAAUCGUAGAUCAGCAUGCUACGGUGAAUACGUUCCCGGGUCU